GGGCUUGGUAACGCGAGCCUGUAACUCAAGUGAGGGGUAGAUGGUUGGAUGUUGGGCCUGGUCUUGACGGGUUGGGCCUUCUAAGUGCUAAUCUGGCCUGCCCUAUUCAAGUAAGAAGUGAGUUAGGGUCCUCUAGCGAAGGCUUGGGGGCAAUGACUCCUAAAGUACAGGGCACUGCGCGAGGCUGGCUCCACAGAGCAGCGAACACCUGUCUCUUCUCACAGUGGAAGGAUCACAGGCCCUUUCUUGGGUGGGUCCAUCAAAUGCCUGAAUGACCUCUCAACAAGACAACCAUCUUU
rnacentral:SRP_RNA from 1 species